rnacentral:lncRNA from 1 species
UUGCAGUGCUGGGGAUUGAACCCAUAGACUCCUGUAUGCUCGCCAGGCCCUCUAGAGAGAGGAACUAUAUCCCUAAAACAAUAUAAGAUAGUUCCUGACAGUGGACAUUGGAUUUUCUUCCCACAAAAGAAAGAAAGUCCGAGGACUCUGUACUGGAUUAGCGUUUUCCAAAGUUCAUGUCCAUUUGGAACCUACAAAUAGGGUCCUUGUAAUGUAUUCAAAUGAAGAUGUACCGGAUGGUGUGGCUGCAAAUGAAGGAAAGAUGGCCAGAAAUCAUCAGGAGCCAGGAAGAGGGUCUUAAAAGCCAACUUUGUGGUUUCUCAAAGCUGAUUUUUUACCAGUGGGAGAGGCAGGCUGCUGCUUUCCAGGGGAAGCAGCCAGAAGUGCUUGUGUAGAGACAAAGGUGUGCAAUGCAGGCACGGAGACAUUAGCUAAGUAUUUUCCGGAUCACUCGUCCAGUACAUUUGUAUUCAGAUCUGACUUGAGAGUCUGCACCCUUCUGCAUUCCUGAUAUUUCUGCUUCUCCCAGAGAGAAGUUGUCUUCCUGUCCAUCCUUGCACCUAUUUACUCUUCAAAUAUAAAAACAUGGAAAAACAGACGGUUUUCACCUAAUGAUGAUGCUAUCUGCCUUGCUGCACAUUACUCAUGCUUUCGUACCCACUUUAGAGAUAAGAAAAGCUAGCCUGAAGUACAACUGAGCCAGAAAAGUCAGUGCUGAUGGAUCUGGAAUGCUUCUCCUCCUGCUGGUCACUGGAGUAUAUGAUUGCUAUGCUGCUCUAUCUCAUGAAGGAGAGGACCACAGGCCAAA